rnacentral:rRNA from 1 species
GACGAACGCUGGCGGCGUGCUUAGCACAUGCAAGUCGAACGGAAAGGCUCCAGCUUGCUGGAGUACUCGAGUGGCGAACGGGUGAGUAACACGUGGGUAAUCUGCCCUGCACUCUGGGAUAAGCCUGGGAAACUGGGUCUAAUACUGGAUAUGACCUUUCUCCUUAUGGGGUUUGGUGGAAAGUUUUUCGGUGUAGGAUGAGCCCGCGGCCUAUCAGCUUGUUGGUGGGGUGAUGGCCUACCAAGGCGACGACGGGUAGCCGGCCUGAGAGGGUGAUCGGCCACAUUGGGACUGAGAUACGGCCCAGACUCCUACGGGAGGCAGCAGUGGGGAAUAUUGCACAAUGGGCGGAAGCCUGAUGCAGCGACGCCGCGUGAGGGAUGACGGCCUUCGGGUUGUAAACCUCUUUCAGCAGGGACGAAGCGUAAGUGACGGUACCUGCAGAAGAAGCACCGGCUAACUAUGUG